rnacentral:rRNA from 1 species
CGGGGUGAGUAAUGUAUGGGGAUCUGCCUGAUGGCGGGGGGUAACUACUGGAAACGGUAGCUAAUACCGCAUAAUGUCUGCGGACCAAAGCGGGGGACCUCCGGGCCUCGCGCCAUCAGAUGAACCCAUAUGGGAUUAGCUAGUAGGUAAGGUAACGGCUUACCUAGGCGACGAUCCCUAGCUGGUCUGAGAGGAUGAUCAGCCACACUGGGACUGAGACACGGUCCAG